rnacentral:rRNA from 1 species
UACGUAGGGUCCGAGCGUUGUCCGGAAUUAUUGGGCGUAAAGGGCGCGUAGGCGGCUGAACAAGUCAAAGGUGAAAUCCCUCGGCUCAACUGAGGAACUGCCUUUGAAACUGUUCGGCUUGAGGCCGGGAGGGGGUAGCGGAAUUCCCAGUGUAGCGGUGAAAUGCGUAGAUAUUGGGAGGAACACCAGUGGCGAAGGCGGCUACCUGGACCGGUUCUGACGCUGAGGCGCGAAAGCGUGGGUAGCAAACAGG